rnacentral:rRNA from 1 species
GGCGAACGCUGGCGGCGUGCUUAACACAUGCAAGUCGAACGGAAAGGCCCUGCUUUUGUGGGGUGCUCGAGUGGCGAACGGGUGAGUAACACGUGAGUAACCUGCCCUUGACUUUGGGAUAACUUCAGGAAACUGGGGCUAAUACCGGAUAGGAGCUCCUGCUGCAUGGUGGGGGUUGGAAAGUUUCGGCGGUUGGGGAUGGACUCGCGGCUUAUCAGCUUGUUGGUGGGGUAGUGGCUUACCAAGGCUUUGACGGGUAGCCGGCCUGAGAGGGUGACCGGCCACAUUGGGACUGAGAUACGGCCCAGACUCCUACGGGAGGCAGCAGUGGGGAAUAUUGCACAAUGGGCGGAAGCCUGAUGCAGCAACGCCGCGUGCGGGAUGACGGCCUUCGGGUUGUAAACCGCUUCCGCCUGUGACGAAGCGCGAGUGACGGUAAUGGGUAAAGAAGCACCGGCUAACUACGUG